AUGAAAAUCAGUGGUUGGAAGGAAAAGUUGCUAUCAGCAGGAGGAAAGGAAAUCCUUCUAAAAUCGGCUGUACAAGCUAUCCCAACUUAUGUAAUGUCCGUCUUUAAAAUUCCUAAAAAGAUUUGUAAAGGAAUCAUUGACGCGAUGUCGCAUUUUUGGUGGGGUGACGAAGACAAUCAGAAGAGAAUGCAUUGGAUGGCAUGGUGGAAGAUGUGUGUAUCAAAAGACCAAGGAGGAAUGGGUUUUCGAGACAUACAUUGUUUCAAUCUGGCCUUAUUAGCCAAACAAGCGUGGCGCCUCCUUGAUAACCCUGAUUCACUAUGUGCUUCAAUUUUGAGAGCUAAAUAUUUUCCAGAUGGAGAUUUAAUGAAUGCGAGUCUGAAAAAAGGAUCCUCUUUCACGUGGCAAAGCAUUAUGGCCGGAGUGGAUUCUCUCAAAAAAGGUUAUAUUUGA
rnacentral:rRNA from 1 species